rnacentral:lncRNA from 1 species
AUGGGGCCAGAUGAGAAGGAUGGAGCUGCCGUGGGCAGGAUGGAGAGCCUGGGGAUGGUGCUGAACGAGCAGGAUGGAGAUCCCAGGGGUGGUGGCAAUUGGGCAGGACAGAUGCCAGGGAUGGUGGCACUUGGAGAGGAUGGAGAUGCCACAGAUGGUGGCACAUGGGUAGGACAAAGUUGCCAGGGAUGGUGGCGCAUGGGCAGGAUGGAUGCCAGGGACAGUGACACUUGGGCAGGAUGGAUGCCAGGGGUGGUGGCACUUGGGCAGAAGGCGAUGCCAAGGACAGUGGCACUUGGAGAGGAUGGAGAUGCCACAGAUGGUGACACUUGGGCAGGAUGGAGGUGCCAGGGAGGGUGGCGCAUGGGCAGGACGGAUGCCAGGAACCAUCCCUCGUGGCCGCGGUGGUGCCCGCGGCAGCCCAGCAGCGGUGAUGCCCACGGGAGCACGACGGAGCCCCGGCACUGGGCAGCCCGGAGGUGUGUGGGCUGGGAGCAGCAGCGGUCGGAGCAGCCCGUUUGUUUCUCAUUAGCGGCUCUUGGCAGGAGCUGUGGAAAAAAUAGCUUCAAACAGCAGAGCUGGAAGGGAAAAGGCUGGGCCGGAGGGAGGGGAGAGGGGCCGCGGUGGGGAAGGGGGCGCAGGGCCAGGCGGGGUGCGGGGAAGGGGCUGGGGGUCUGCGGCCUGCGGGGGUGCAGGGACAGGGAAGGGGACGGGGUCCCCGUGGUGGCAUCCCGUUCCCCAGGGGGGCAGCAGCCGGGGAGCUCGAGCACACAUGUGUGUUGGUGUGUGCUUCUGUGCACGGGGCCGGCGAGCCCCGCGUGUGCGCGCACACCCGGUGGUGUGAGCAUGGCCGGGGAGGGGACAGGGCCCCGGGAGGUUCCUCGCGGCACCGGGGCUGAUUCUCACGUUUUUGGGGGCGGCGGGAGGCCCCGAGCCGCUUACGCAACCGCGUGUCUGCGAGCUUCGACGAGCGCCGCCAAGUCCCCCGAACAUGAGCGGGGGGAGAGCAGGGCGAGGACCGCCGCGAGCUCGGCCCUGCUGCUCCUCCUCCGUGGCACGGUGGCUUGUCCCCAGUGCCAUGGUGGUGCCAGGGUGGCACCGGUGCCACACGGCCUCUCCCUAGGGCUGGGAACCGGCAGCGUCGAGACGGGGUCAUCUGGGGACAGUGCCCGGGCGCGCCGCGCGUCCCCAGGGACGGGGCCAUGCCAACGGGAGCUGGUGGCACCAUGGCAGCGGGCACACGGACGCGGUCCCCAUGGGUGUGGGGACACCUCAGCGUGGCCUGGAGGGGGUCCCCGCGUGCCCCUCGCCGUGUGGCACGCGUGCUCGGUGUGCGCGUGCAGCCCCGUGUGUCGGUGCACACAGCGGGCACGCGCGUGGCCCCGUGGGUUUGGCACAGGUACGUGGCCUCCGGGAGCCACCUGGCUAUUUCUGCCUCCCGCCUGGCUUUAA